GAUAAACGCUGGCGGCGUGCCUAACACAUGCAAGUCGAACGCCCUUACGCAAGUAAGGGAGUGGCGGACGGGUGAGGAACACGUGGGUGAUCUGCCUUGAGGUGAGGAAUACCGGCGAGAAAUCGCCGACAAUACCGCAUACGUUCGCAAGAACAAAGUCGCAAGACGCCUUGAGAUGAGCCUGCGUCCGAUUAGCUAGUUGGUAGGGGUAAAAGCCUACCAAGGCAGCGAUCGGUAGCUGGUCUGAGAGGACGAUCAGCCACACUGGGAUUGAGAACGGCCCAGACUCCGUACGGGGGCGAGC
rnacentral:rRNA from 1 species